GAUUUCCAUUAUUUGAGAACGAUUCAUAGAGCAUUCCUUUUUGAAGUGGUGUGCAUUUAUUAAGAAAAUUGUUCUUUGACUGAACUUCGUUGGGUUUGAGUAAAAUUAAGCUCUCAGCUAUUUUGAAAACCACUUUACUAGUCAAAACAAUUGAUGGAUUUGCCUCAAAACCUAAGGACCUAAUCUUACGCACGAAAUAGACAAUAUCUAAAGAAUCCAAUCCC